rnacentral:rRNA from 1 species
UACGAAGGUCCCGAGCGUUGUUCGGAAUCACUGGGCGUAAAGGGAGCGUAGGCGGCCUUCUAAGUCGAACGUGAAAUCCCCGGGCUCAACCCGGGAACUGCGUCCGAUACUGGGAGGCUUGAAUCCGGGAGAGGGAUGUGGAAUUCCAGGUGUAGCGGUGAAAUGCGUAGAUAUCUGAAGGAACACCGGUGGCGAAGGCGGCUCUCUGGGACGGUACUGGAACGCUGAGACGCGAAAAGCGUGGGGGAGCGAACAGGA